AUGUUAUUAAAAACGAGUUUUGCCAGAGGACGCUGACAUCAUAGCAGACGAUCAUCCGAUAGUACGUCAUCGAUGGCGGACCAAUGGUAGAAGAAAUUGGCGCUGGCAGAAUGUUCGUCUGCUGAGAAAUAUUGUCAAGAUGACAGUUGUAGAAAACGGUUCGUCUCUAGGCGUUAGUGAGGAAAUAAACGAUUGCAAAGUGGUAGUGACGUUAUUGAAUGGUAAAAAACACGAAGAAUAUAACAAAAUAAGAAAAAGUAAAACUAGAAUCAAAUAUCGGAGUUGGGUUAUUGUAUUUGCAGCUUUUGUUUCGUUUUCCAUCAAAGCUGGAUUGCUUUAUACUUUUAGUAUAUAUUAUGUUCAAUUUCUGUUAACUUUUCAAGAAUCUAGGUCUCAUACUGCUUGGAUCGGUUCAUUGUUCACCUGUCUUUUGCAGUUAACAGGGCCAUUUUCUGGCUUAAUGAUAAAAGCCUUUGGAUGUAGAAUCACUAUCAUGUUAGGUGGAUUAGGAACUGCAUUUGGAUAUAUUAUUAGUUCAUUUGCUAUCAAUGUUAAUUAUUUACUUUUCUCACUUGGAAUAUUAACAGCAAUCUUUUUAAAUUUUGUCUACACUGGAUUUGCAAUUGCACUUGCUGUACAUUGUAAGAAGUUUCAUAGUUUGGCAACAGGAAUAGCAUUUUCAGGAAUUGGAUUUGGUAUUUUUGUAUUCUCACCUCUUCUAGAACUUGCAGUAGAUUAUUAUGGAUGGAGGGGAUCCAUGUUUAUUCAAGCAGGUAUGGCUCUUAACUUCUGUGUCUGUGGUGCUUUUGUUUCAAGCAAAGAACUACCAAACUAUAGGGAAACCUAUGUAUCACAAAAUCAAAAAGAUAUGACUACAAAGAAUUUUAAGAAUAACAAUGUGAAUAAAGGAAAUGUCAGUUUUAAUGGACAUUCUAAAUAUUCUAAAUUUAUAUCAUUUUUUACAGAUUGUACAUUUAUAUGCUUUAUUUUAUCAAACUCUAUAUGGGUUAUGGGUACUUCUACAAUAUUUGUGACUUAUAAAGAUUUAGCAAAUCUUUUUGGCUAUGGUGAUAAAUUUUCUAUAAUAAUAUCAUCGAUGGGAAUUGCAGAUAUAAUUGGAAGACUUACUGUAGGAGUUGUCUUGUCCAAAUGCAAAAACUAUGUGAUUACAUAUUCAGCAAUAAUACUCUUUUUUUCUGGCUUGGCAUUGUGUCUUCACAUUACUAUUUCAUCUUUUGAAAUGUUUCUUGGACUUGCUAUUAUGUUUUCUUUUUUCUAUGCUAAACAGUGUGUUAUUUGUGUUGUGGCUCCAGCUACAAUGUAUGGGGCUGAAAACCUUACAUUAACUUUUGGAGUUCUUUUAUUUUUUGGUGGUUGUACAACAUUAUUUGGUCCACCUCUAGGAGCUAUAUUUUAUUAUAUAUUAUACCAAUAAAAUGAUUUUCUGUAAAGAAGAUUGACUUGUUUGCUAUGUGCAUGUAAAAGUAAAUUCCCAAUUAGUCCAAAAUUUAUCAAAUCAAGUCAAAAAUUAAAUCAUAACUUUUUAACGAUCUUUUAAAUUUUACUAAUUGGAUGGCUUAUUGAUAUGACACAAGAUCGUUCAGCAAUUCUGUGGUU
rnacentral:misc_RNA from 1 species